GCGCCUUAAUGACCCAAACAUUUUCCACUAUUCAAAACUUCUGUAAGUAUAAUGGUUUCUGAGAUUAUCCCAUAACAAGGUGUUAGGUCAAAGGUCAAGGUCAACAUACACAUUUGACCUUGAGGUAUUUUUCAAAGUCACAUGAAUUGAUGAUGAAUGGUGAAGAUCCUAGGUGUCUACGACUUACGGUUUCUGAGUUUUGGUGGCCAACCGACACCGGUUAAUUUUCAUAGGGGCA
rnacentral:lncRNA from 1 species